AUCUGGUUGAUUCUGCCAGUCGCGAUAUGCUUGUCUCAAAGACUAAGCCAUGCAUGUCUAAGUAUAAGGACUUUAUACUACGAAACUGCGAAUGGCUCCUUAAAUCAGUUAUUAUUUACUUAAAACUGACGUUCUACUUGCAUAACCGUGCAAAAUCUAGAGCUAAUACAUGCAUAAGGGGGACUUUUGUGGAAGCCCUGCGUUUAUUAGAUACAAAACCAACCUGGGUGGCAACGCCCGGCCUUUGGUGAGUCAUAAUAACUGAGCGAACCGCAUGGCCUUGUGCUGGCGGUGAACCAAUCAAAUUUCUGCCCUAUCAACUUGACGGUAGGAUAGAGGCCUACCGUGGUGACAACGGGUAACGGGGGGUUAGGGCUCGACUCCCGGAGAGGACGCCUUAGAAACGGCGACCACUUCCAAGGAAGGCAGCAGGCGCGCAAAUUACCCCAUCUCGAUUCGAGGAGGUAGUGACAAUAAAUAACAAUGGACGGGCUUUUUAGCCGGUCCAAUUGGAAUGAGUACAAUUUAGACUUCUUAACGAGGACCAAGUGGAGGGCAAGUCUGGUCCCACCAGCCGCGGUAAUUCCAGCUCCACUAGCGUAUGCGAAUUCUGCUGCAGUUAAAACGCUCGUAGUUGGACUUCUACUGGGUCGCCCCGCCGCAAGGCGUGGGCAGGUGGGCUGGCCCCUUUCGACCGGCUGGCUCACGCCCAGUUUUUGACACCGUUUGAGCGACUGCCCUUUAUCGGCCCGUUGUUUCGGGCCGUGUCCGUUUACUUUGAACAAAUUAGAGUGCUCAAACCAGCCAUUUUCCCCUUGAAUACUUUACCAUGGAAUAAUAAAAUAGGACUUUGCCCCUAUUUUGUUGGUUUCUAGGACCGAAGUAAUGAUUAAUAGGAAGGAUGGGCCAAUUCGUAUUCCGCUGUCAGAGGUGAAAUUCUUGGAGUGGCAGAAGACCCACUACUGCGAAACCAUUUUGCAACGCCCUUUUCAUUAAUUCAAGAACGAAAGUUAGGGGAUCGAAGACGAUCAGAUACCGUCGUAGUCCUAACCAUAAACGAUGCUGACUAGGGAUCGGCCAGCCCGAAACUUUUUUCACCUGCUCGGCACCUCCAGGGAAACCGUAAGUCAAGUUCUGGGGGGGGUAUGGUCGCAAGGCUGAAACUUAAA
rnacentral:rRNA from 1 species